rnacentral:rRNA from 1 species
UACGAAGGGACCUAGCGUAGUUCGGAAUUACUGGGCUUAAAGAGUUCGUAGGUGGUUAAAAAAGUUGGUGGUGAAAUCCCAGAGCUUAACUCUGGAACUGCCAUCAAAACUUUUUAGCUAGAGUAUGAUAGAGGAAAGCAGAAUUUCUAGUGUAGAGGUGAAAUUCGUAGAUAUUAGAAAGAAUACCAAUUGCGAAGGCAGCUUUCUGGAUCAUUACUGACACUGAGGAACGAAAGCAUGGGUAGCGAAGAGG